rnacentral:lncRNA from 1 species
AUGAGUGUCAUGAGCCUACAAAAUCUCAGAAAGAUCUUCAACAUCCUCUCAAGCAUGUCUGUUGAUGAUCCAGAAUGUUCGAAGAAUCGACAGACAUCGAUCGAAGGAGUUCAAUCAGCAUCGACCGUCAAAAAGGCUCUACAAAGAGCUAGCACUCGUGAGGAGUCGAUAAGAUCGAGAGCUUCAUAUGGACAAUCCGUAGAGGUCAGACACACUGUGUGGCUGCAUCGCGAUGAUCAGACUCUCCCAACGGUGAUCAGAUUGCGGCGAUCUACUAUCCGUACAAAGGUAUUGUGU